rnacentral:rRNA from 1 species
GGCUCAGAACGAACGCUGGCGGCAGGCCUAACACAUGCAAGUCGAGCGAGAUCUUCGGGUCUAGCGGCGGACGGGUGAGUAACGCGUGGGAAUAUGCCCUUCUCUACGGAAUAGCCUUGGGAAACUGGGAGUAAUACCGUAUACGCCCUUUGGGGGAAAGAUUUAUCGGAGAAGGAUUAGCCCGCGUUGGAUUAGGUAGUUGGUGGGGUAAUGGCCUACCAAGCCGACGAUCCAUAGCUGGUUUGAGAGGAUGAUCAGCCACACUGGGACUGAGACACGGCCCAGACUCCUACGGGAGGCAGCAGUGGGGAAUCUUAGACAAUGGGGGCAACCCUGAUCUAGCCAUGCCGCGUGAGUGAUGAAGGCCUUAGGGUUGUAAAGCUCUUUCAGCUGGGAAGAUAAUGA